AGAGUUUGAUCAUGGCUCAAAAUCAACGCUGGCGGCGCGCUUAACACAUGCAAGUCGAACGAGAAAGCCCGCAAGGGUGAGUAAAGUGGCGUACGGGUGAGUAACACGUGGGUAAUCUACCUUCUGGUGGGGGAUAACCCUGGGAAACCGGGGCUAAUACCGCAUAAUCCCGUGAGGGAAAAGGAGAAAUCCGCCGGAAGAGGAGCCCGCGGCUGAUUAGCUAGUUGGUGAGGUAAUGGCUCACCAAGGCAAUGAUCGGUAGCCGGCCUGAGAGGGCACACGGCCACACUGGCACUGAAACACGGGCCAGACUCCUACGGGAGGCAGCAGUGGGGAAUCUUGCACAAUGGGGGAAACCCUGAUGCAGCGACGCCGCGUGAGCGAUGAAGCCCUUCGGGGUGUAAAGCUCUUUCGGCAGGAACGAUAAUGACGGUACCUG
rnacentral:rRNA from 1 species